AGAAAUGUUGCUACCACUCCCAUUUACUUGGUGAAACUGAAGGAGUUUGUGCAAUAUCCUUUCUUCCCUGGAGGGUCUGACACUGUUUCGUUCAGAGCAGUGUCAACUCAGGCCAAGGUCCUGGGUUGACUCCUCGGAUGGGCAGUCAGCUUCUUCAAGUCCUAUGACCAAAGCCCGCCCUCUUAGCCUUCCCUAGAUGUCCAUUUCAGAAUAUGCAAACUGCCAUAAUUGGAAGGCACAAGAUGUGGGAUCAUUCCUACUGGUCCACUUCCAAGAAAGGCCAUCCUACAGUGUAACAUUGAUUUCAUAGUCAAAAGAUAGGAGCCUUUAAAUUUAAUGUGGUGCCAUAUAUGUCAUCAUUUCUUGUUCUGUUAAAAAAAAAUGUGUCCUUGUGUUAAAAUUAGAUUUCUGUGAAAUGUCCAUUUAUUGGCCUGGGAACAUUUCUCUUUCUCAACCCGAUACUGUGAGUCUGGAGGAGGAAAGGCUCCAUCUCUCCUUUUUUGCACUGUGUUGGAGAACAGCAUCCAGAUGGGGCCUAUCCAUCUUGCCUCUCCAAGAGCCUGACCUUGUUACCUUAUCCAUAGACUCGUGGAAGGUUACCGCUCAGGAAGACUGUGGGCCAGAGUGGAUAAUACAGAAGCCAAUGAUCUGUCUUUAAAAGUGCCUGACAUGGAAGACGAAGAGACAACAGAAUUAAAGAGCUGGAGAAACCAGAAGAGGCCAUCUGGCCAGGACCUCCCUUCAGACAGAUGAGGAAACUGAGGCUCGGAACAACUAAAGAGCUUGCCAGAGUCGUGCAACAGGUAUACGAUGGACCUACAUUUGGUGGACACAGGGUGUGCAGCCCCGAUGAGGAAAUUCUCCUCUCACUUGGAAAGAUGAUAGGGACCACGUACCCUGCUUCCAUCUUCCAAAGGGAGUCAGCGUGACAUGAAAAUAAUCAGAUUGCACAACCAUCAUUUAUUGGGAACCCAUCUGUGUGGGGAUGAGCUCAUAGCCUUGACAAAGAAGAAAAUUUCCAGCUGAGGUUGGUUGGUGGGGCUUCCCAAAUAGUCCAGCUCAUUUUCAGAAGGUCCAGCAGUGGGUCAGGACAACACUAAGUGAAGAGCAUCCAGUGACCACACUGGUCAAGCUGUAUGGUCACUGUUAUUGUAAAUGAUAUAAAACACAUUGCACUUAUUAAAGAAGGGCAUGUGA